GUACGGGAGGCAGCAGUGGGGAAUUUUGGACAAUGGGCGCAAGCCUGAUCCAGCAAUGCCGCGUGCAGGAUGAAGGCCUUCGGGUUGUAAACUGCUUUUGUACGGAACGAAACGGUCCUUUCUAAUACAAGGGGCUAAUGACGGUACCGUAAGAAUAAGCACCGGCUAACUACGUGCCAGCAGCCGCGGUAAUACGUAGGGUGCGAGCGUUAAUCGGAAUUACUGGGCGUGAAGCGUGCGCAGGCGGUUAUAUAAGACAGAUGUGAAAUCCCCGGGCUCAACCUGGGACCUGCACUUGUGACUGUAUAGCUAGAGUACGGUAGAGGGGGAUGGAAUUCCGCGUGUAGCAGUGAAAUGCGUAGAUAUGCGGAGGAACACCGAUGGCGAAGGCAAUCCCCUGGACCUGUACUGACGCUCAUGCACGAAAGCGUGGGGAGCAAACAGGAUUAGAUACCCCGGUAGC
rnacentral:rRNA from 1 species